CAUGCCUUGGAGAAGCCCUGCUGUGAGGCACCCACGCAGAUCCAGACACUCACUGACCAUGGUGGGAGGUGGCACCUAUUUUAUUUUUAUGAUGAGAGGGAACCUCAAACUCUACUGUGAUGUAAGUGGUCUCAAAGGCCCUUUGAAGUCACCAUUUUAUCUAAAUCAGAAAUAGGAAAAAAAUAAGAAAUGGCCAGCUUAGAAAGACUCAAAUUCUUUUGCGGGGGGAAAAACCAGGAAGAAAGAAAAGAAAAAUACAUUGUUUCCUUGGCCAUCUGUGUGAAGAAAUAACAAAACCACCGUUGACAUACCAGCAGGAAAGAACACUGGAGAGCUUCACUUGACAGAAUUAUUACAAACGCCUCUUCCUGGUUCAGGGGGAAAAAAAAUUCCAAAUAGGUUUGUGAUAUUUUUUUCCCUAGCAUGCUUGCAACUCCCAGUAGAGCCAAUAACCAGUUUUCAAAACCUUUUGAUUCUACUCAUCCCCUGGUUAAUAAUUUCCAGUUUACCCAGCAGGCUACGUAACAUCCCCUUUCCUGGGAAAGAAUUUCUGUGCCCCGGCUGGCAGUGAACUGGUCCCCUUAGCAGCUGACCUCCUCCUCCAGCCCUGUGGCUGCCUCCUCUCCAACAGGGACCCUCCUGGUGAAAGAAAAAGAGACUUGGUAAUUCACUGAGCAUCACCCAAGACCGGGCGCAGACCUACACCCUGGCGUAUAAAAGACGUAGUACUCACGUCAUUCCUGUUUCACAGAUGCACAGACUUACUCUUGGAGAGGCUCCUCCCAAAAGUCACCCAGCUGAUUUUCAUCCACUUGGCUCCCCAAGUUGCUGCUCGACCGCUCUCUGACCUGGAUUCACUGAGGACACAUCAGGCCUUUGCCACGGGCUCCAUGGAGUGGCCGGAGCCCAGGGCUGGGUGAGUGUGGGGUGGGUCUGAAGGGGAGGACGUGCAUCUAGAGGCCAGGCCAGCCCCUGCAGGAUUUUCUGAUGUCAAAUCGCCUGUCCUGUGCCCGAGCCCUAUCGCCUUAGCAGAAUGAGGACACGUGCCUCCCCUGGGCCUCCCCACCGUGGCCUGAGUGAGUGUCUCUCCGGCUGCAGUGUUUGCAGUCAGCAGGUCAAGAGGGGACCCUCCUGCCCUGCUCCCAUGGGGCUGCUGCUCCUUCUAGCAGUCCCAGCUUAACACCCACACUUCUUAUACUGGUCCCAGGGCCCUCUAUGGGUUAGGGUGUAGAAGGAGGUUGUGUUGGUUAAAAACACCAGGUGGAAAUCUCUUUUCUCUGAAUGCUGAUGGAGUGCUGUUAGGGAGACAGUUCUUUUCAGUCUAGUUGGAUCCUGGGUGAAGACUCAGGCCUCGCUCAAGAAGGGAGACCACCCAUAUGUGCUGUCACGUGUUUCCAGGGAGGAGGCUGGAAGUCCAAGAUCAAGGUCCUAGUAGGUUUGGCCUCUGGUGAGGGCUCUCUUCAUGGCCAGGAGCUUCUCCCACUCCUGGGCACAGAUGGGCCCUGUUAGACUGUUGCCUUGCUCCCAAUCAAUCAUGCCCCCUCCCACUGCCUCUGGGGUUGUGUCUGUGAUGUCCUCUUCCUGGGGACAAAUGCAGCUUCAGCUGCUAUAGGCUGGGACUGUGGCCCUCCCUGCACCAGUCCCAGGGCCCAGCUUCCCCAGGCCACUAGCGUUGCUCCAGGAACAGUGUCCAAGUCAGUCCCGACUGCUAAUAGAAUCCCACGGACUGAGUGGCUUCAGGAACAGGAAUUUAUUUCUCACAGUUCUGGAAGUCCAAGAUCAGGGUGCUGGCAGAUUUGGCUCCUGGUAAGGGCUCUCUUCAGGCUUGCAGACAGCUGCCUUCUUGCUGUAACCUCACAUGGUGGAGAGAAAACUCUGGUGUCUCUUCCUUUUCUUAUAACGGCACUAAUUCCAUCAUGGAUCCCCCCACCCUCAUGACCUCAUUGAAACCUAAUGACCUUUCAGAGGCCCCACUUCCUAAUACUGUCACACUGGGGGUAGGGCUUCCACAUACCAAUUUGGAGACACACAAACAUUUAGUCCAUAAAAAAUGGGCAGGUGGCCCAGACUAAGCUAAUCACAUCCUUUCCUGGGCCUGUCAGGAACCUUCUCUGGCUUUUGGUUUGUUUGUAUUUUAAAAUAGAAAUAGGCAGAUCUGUGAGAAGGUGAGGUGAGAGUUGCAGGCAGCCACCUACCUGCCCAGGGGAGGAGGCCCUUUUGCAAUAGGAAAGAAUGAAAACAGCACAAAGAGAGACGUGGAGGAGGAAGACGGAGAAGGAGGGGCGCUUUCGCCUCCCUGGACCCAGUGGGCCCUGAGAUCUGCUUCUAACCUGUCUUUUCUCUAUUGAUUUUUGUCAGCUAAUAAGUCUUUCUUUCUACAUAUAUUCAUUGAAGUUCCAUUUGUUUUCCUUGCCAGUAAAAGAAUGCUGACAACCUCAGGAUUGGGCAAGGAGCUAGUCCUUUUCCCCUCUUGAGAGAUGGGGUAGCAGAGUAGUAGGAGCAGAGCGGCCAGGCUGUCUGGAUUUGAAGUUGUACGUGUUGGUCUGGGCAAAAUUUUCAACUUCCUGCGCCUCAGUUUCUUAUCUGUAAAGUGGGGUUAAUAAUAGUGCCCACCUCGUGCAGUCAGGGAUGAGGAUUAAGUGAGUUAUAUGUGUAAGGUGCUUUGCACACUGCCUGGUGUGCAGUCAGCUCAGCAUCUGUGAGCUGAUUUCCAUCUCCCUUGGGUCUUGUGGCCUGUGAACACAGCCUUACUUGGCGCAAGUGCUGAAGGAAAUGGAACGCACCCUGAGUGAGACAGCAGUACUCUCUUGUGACCCAGUUAGUAGCCAGCUGGCAGAUUUCUGGUAUUGCUCACUGCUGAGGGGCCGCUGGGUGCCUGAUGAGUCCUGGGAAAUGCCUGGGGCAGGGUGGCUGGCCUGGGCCUGUCUGCCCUGGGUUGCCCCUCCCAGAGCUCUCAGCAUGGCAGCACUAAGGCCAGCUGGACCCUACUUGGGAGGAUAGAGAAGUGGAAAGAACCCUGGGCCUGCAACCCAGCAGUUGUACACCGUGGUUUCCUAGAGGAACUCAUGCACAUGUGUCCUGGAGACCUGCAAGAGGACAGCACCAUGGAGAUGACCAGCAACUAAUACCACCCAAAGGUCCACCAACAGGAGAAUGGAUACCCCAGCAGGGGUGCAUGCAUGCAACGGAACACACCACGUACUGGUGAGAGUGAAUCAAUGUCGGUCACACGCAUCAACGCCGAUGAGGCUGAGACUCGUAAUAUCAAAUUUAGAAUUGCAAGUAGCAGAAGGAUCAAAGUUAUAUUUGUAAUAAAGCUUAAACACAAGCAAAUCGAGCACUGUAUUGUUUAGGCACACAUUCACAUUUGGUAAAGACAUAAAGCAAAGCAAGGGAACGAGACAAAAAUGAAAUCCCAGAGUAAUCAGGUGGUCAGGUCUUGGGGGGUGGCGUGGAGUUGGGGAAGGGCAUCAGAGUGGAUCUCACCUCAGCUCCGACUGCUUUGGGAAGUUCUAGUUCUGACAUGGAGUGGUGGGUUCACAGCUGUUUGAUUGCUUGUUAUGCUUUAUAACAAUAUAAACUGCAUAUGUUCAGUUGAAAUAUUUCAUAAUAAAGGUUUUUUAAAAAAGAACAUUGGGCUCAUCUUUCCCAUCAGAUACAGGCAUUUUUGUUUUGAAUUUCUAUUUCCUUUUUUUAAUGAGCAAGGAUCGUUUGCCUCUGAAAAUAUAAAUUAAAAAAAAAAAUAAGGCUGGGCACAGUGGCUCACGCCUGUCAUCCUAGUACUUUGGGAGGCCGAGGUGGGUGGAUCACUUGAAGUCAGGAGUUCGAGACCAGCCUGGGCAACAUGGUGAAACCCCAUCUCUACCAAAAAUAUAAAAAAUUAGCCAGGCGUGGAGGCGUGCGUCUGUAAUCCCAGCUACUUGGGAGGCUGAGGCAGGAGAAUCGCUUGAACCCGGGGGGCAGAGGUUGCACGAGCCGACAUUGUGUCACUGCACUCCAGCCUGGGUGACAGAGCGAGACUCCAUCUCAAAAAUAAAUAAAUUAUUUAAAUAUUUUUUUAGAAAAAGCACUGGAUUUGCAGUUGGGAGCACAAGACUUGGGGUUGCCCCUUCCCACAACCACUGUCAUUGCUGGGACCUCUGCAGCCAUCUCCUCCCGGCCUCCAUCCUCACCCACUCCAUUUCAGUCUCUGUUUGGCCCCCAGCUGAGUUAUCUUUGUAACCAUAAAUGGCAUUCGCUCAUUUUACUGCUUCCUGAAGUCCAAGCCUGUUCUUUUCAACCAUGUUUCUCCCUGUUCCUCUUCACCAUUUGUAUGUAGCCAGAUGUAGAGUUCAUGGAACCAAAAACCUGCCUUCUGCUUCUGUGUCUUUGCUCAAGCUGUACCUGGGAAAAUAAGUCAUCAGGUCUGAGCACCAGCGUCUGGGUCUCAGUGCUCAGCAUGCAAAAGAGACUGGGUUUAGGCUCUGUCACUCACCAUGAAUUCUACACGGAAUGACUUUUCUGUCCCUAAGUGAUCCUUCCAGGCUCAUUUCAGGCAACACCUCUUCCAGGAAGCCUUCCCUGAUAUCCAGCCUUUAUUCUCACAGCUCCUCUGGUAAUCCCUAUCAAAGUACCCUGAGAUUUCCACAGUACUUUGGAAUUUUCUGUGUAUGUGCCUCCUCCACUAGACUACCUACUCCCCAAAGGCAAAAACUGGGUCUUAUUUUGUUUGUCUCAAUAGCAACUGUACCAGCCGUGGCAUGGUGGCACUCAAAUGGUAACGCCCUGAGGGAAAGGUUUUGCCUGUUUUGCUCAUCUAUGUAUUCUAAGUGCCUAGAACACUGCCUGGCAUAUGGUAGCUGUGCUGCAAAUGGUUAUCGAGUGAAUGAAUAAAUGUUAACCUGUACUGAGUACUGAGUAAAGUUCUAUUGCUUGGAAGCUGUGUGAGCUUUGGUGAGACACUUAACGUCUCUGAGCCUCCCUUUCUCCCUCUGUCAAUGGGGAGAUUAAUAGUACUAUUCUUGAAGGAUCACCAUGAGAUUUGGCAGAAAGAUGCAUGUGACAGAGCCUAGAAAAUGGCAGGUGCACAGCCCGCGCUGCUUCAUAUGGAUUUAACCCUGGCCCCAGUGGCCUCAGGCAAAUUCCCAGUGGCUCUGAGGUUGUCCAUCUGAGCUCAGAGUCCCCGCUCAGCCUCCCUGGGUGGUCCAUGGGAAAAGGGGGUCGCAGGUCUGUGCUCCUCCUCCUUAGCCACGGGCCAGUGACCCCUAGGGUCACCUCUGACUGCUGGGUCCGUGGAUCUAUUGUGCAGGGCCUGUUGGUGGCUGGGCAGCCUCACUGAGUCUCCAGAGCCCAGCUGGUCAGUGCAGCCAAGGUCAUGGUCCUCAUUCCUUGAAUGGCUCUUUCUUUAAAUUGACGCAAACUCUUCUUCAGCAGCCACAGGUAGCUCCUAACGCAGCCAGCUGUCUGAGCACUCUCUUAGGUCCCUUUGGGUCCUAAAAUGC
rnacentral:lncRNA from 1 species